AUUGAACGCUGGCGGCAGGCCUAACACAUGCAAGUCGAGCGGAUGAAGGGAGCUUGCUCCUGGAUUCAGCGGCGGGCGGGUGAGUAAUGCCUAGGAAUCUGCCUGGUAGUGGGGGAUAACGUCCGGAAACGGGCGCUAAUACCGCAUACGUCCUGAGGGAGAAAGUGGGGGAUCUUCGGACCUCACGCUAUCAGAUGAGCCUAGGUCGGAUUAGCUAGUUGGUGGGGUAAAGGCCUACCAAGGCGACGAUCCGUAACUGGUCUGAGAGGAUGAUCAGUCACACUGGAACUGAGACACGGUCCAGACUCCUACGGGAGGCAGCAGUGGGGAAUAUUGGACAAAGGGCGAAAGCCUGAUCCAGCCAUGCCGCGUGUGUGAAGAAGGUCUUCGGAUUGUAAAGCACUUUAAGUUGGGAGGAAGGGCAGUAAGUUAAUACCUUGCUGUCUUGACGUUACCAACAGAAUAAGCACCGGCUAACUUCGUG
rnacentral:rRNA from 1 species